AUACAGAGGGUGCAAGCGUUAAUCGGAUUUACUGGGCGUAAAGCGCGCGUAGGUGGCUAAUUAAGUCAAAUGUGAAAUCCCCGAGCUUAACUUGGGAAUUGCAUUCGAUACUGGUUAGCUAGAGUAUGGGAGAGGAUGGUAGAAUUCCAGGUGUAGCGGUGAAAUGCGUAGAGAUCUGGAGGAAUACCGAUGGCGAAGGCAGCAAUCUGGCUUAAUACUGACACUGAGGUGCGAAAGCAUGGGGAGCAAACAGGAUUAGAUGCCCUGGUAGUCCAUGCCGUAAACGAUGUCUACUAGCCGUUGGGGCCCUUGAGGCUUUAGUGGCGCAGCUAACGCGAUAAGUAGACCGCCUGGGGAGUACGGUCGCAAGACUAAAACUCAAAUGAAUUUACGGGG
rnacentral:rRNA from 1 species